rnacentral:rRNA from 1 species
GACGAACGCUGGCGGCGUGCCUAAUACAUGCAAGUCGAACGCAGUGGGGACGGGUGAGUAACACGUGGGUAACCUCCCAUCAGAGGGGAUAACACUUGGAAACAGGUGCUAAACCGAUACUGAUGGAUGGACCCGCGGUGCAUUAGCCAGUUGGUGGGGUAACGGCUUACCAAGGCCACGAUGCAUAGCUGGCCUGAGAGGUUGAUCGGCCACACUGGGACUGAGACACGGUCCAGACUCCUACGGGAGGCAGCAGUAGGGAAUCUUGGACAAUGGGCGCAAGCCUGACCAAGCAACGCCGCGUGAGUGAAGAAGGUUUUCGGAUCGUAAAGCACUGUCGGUGGGGAAGCGUUAUCUAACGAAGAAGCCCCGGCUAACUACGUGCCAGCAGCCGCGGUAAUUC